rnacentral:rRNA from 1 species
UACAGAGGGCUCAAGCGUUGUUCGGAUUCAUUGGGCGUAAAGGGUGUGUAGGUGGCGCGCUAAGUCGGGUGUGAAAUUUCGGAGCUUAACUCCGAAACUGCAUUCGAUACUGGCGUGCUUGAGGACUGGAGAGGAGACUGGAAUUUACGGUGCAGCAGUGAAAUGCGUAGAUAUCGUAAGGAAGACCAGUGGCGAAGGCGGGUCUCUGGACAGUUCCUGACACUGAGACACGAAGGCCAGGGGAGCAAACGGG